GGCCUAACACAUGCAAGUCGAGCGGUAGCACAGGAGAGCUUGCUCUCUGGGUGACGAGCGGCGGACGGGUGAGUAAUGUCUGGGAAACUGCCUGAUGGAGGGGGAUAACUACUGGAAACGGUAGCUAAUACCGCAUAACGUCUUCGGACCAAAGAGGGGGACCUUCGGGCCUCUUGCCAUCAGAUGUGCCCAGAUGGGAUUAGCUAGUAGGUGAGGUAAUGGCUCACCUAGGCGACGAUCCCUAGCUGGUCUGAGAGGAUGACCAGCCACGCUGGAACUGAGACACGGUCCAGACUCCUACGGGAGGCAGCAGUGGGGAAUAUUGCACAAUGGGCGCAAGCCUGAUGCAGCCAUGCCGCGUGUAUGAAGAAGGCCUUCGGGUUGUAAAGUACUUUCAGCGAGGAGGAAGGCGUUAAGGUUAAUAACCUUGGCGAUUGACGUUACUCGCAG
rnacentral:rRNA from 1 species